rnacentral:tRNA from 1 species
GGUGGCUCAAUGGUAGAGCACUUGCCUUGCAUGCAGGAGGCCCUGGGUUCAAUUCCUCAGCACCA